rnacentral:ncRNA from 1 species
CUUAUAAAGAAAGGUGGAGGGACAGGCCCUGAGAAACCUUGGCAACCUUUCAGCUCUAGUCUGAUUUCGGUGCCAAAUCCUUUCUGCAUUUUUGUGGAAAAGAUAAG